rnacentral:rRNA from 1 species
CAGCCGCCGCGGUAAUACGAAGGGGGCAAGCGUUGUUCGGAAUUACUGGGCGUAAAGGGCGCGUAGGCGGUGCACUAAGUCAGGCGUGAAAGCCCAGGGCUCAACCCUGGAAUUGCCUUUAAGACUGCCGAGCUAGUAGGUGAGAAAGGUGAGUGGAAUUCCGAGUGUAGAGGUGAAAUUUGUAGAUAUUCGGAAGAACACCAGUGGCGAAGGCGGCUCACUGGCUCAUUCUAGACGCUGAGGUGCGAAAGCGUGGGGAGCAAACAGGAUUAGAUACCGCGUAGUCCCUGUCUCUUAUACC